CGGAGGGUGCAAGCGUUAUCCGGAUUCACUGGGUUUAAAGGGUGCGUAGGCGGGCAGGUAAGUCAGUGGUGAAAUCCUAGAGCUUAACUCUAGAACUGCCAUUGAUACUAUCUGUCUUGAAUAUUGUGGAGGUAAGCGGAAUAUGUCAUGUAGCGGUGAAAUGCUUAGAUAUGACAUAGAACACCUAUUGCGAAGGCAGCUUACUACGCAUAUAUUGACGCUGAGGCACGAAAGCGUGGGGAUCAAACAGGAUUAGAUACCCUGGUAGUCCACGCCCUAAACGAUGAUUACUCGACAUUUGAGAUACACUUUAAGUGUCUGAGCGAAAGCAUUAAGUAAUCCACCUGGGAAGUACGACCGCAAGGUUG
rnacentral:rRNA from 1 species